UGUUCUAAUAGGUCCAGUUCUAAUAGGUUCCCCUGUUCUAAUAGGUUCCAGUUCUAAUAGGUUCCCUGUUCUAUGGUCCUAGUUCUAAUAGGGUUCCAGUUCUAAUAGGUUCCCCUGUUCUAAUAGGAUCCCCUGUUCAAUAGGUUCCCCUGUUCUAAUAGGUUCCAGUUCUAAUAGGUUCCCCCUGUUCUAAUAGGUCCUAGUUCUAAUAGGUUCCCCUGUUCUAAUAGGUUCCCCUGUUCUAAUAG